ACCCCAGGUCAGGUGGGGCUACCCGCUGAGUUUAAGCAUAUCAAUAAGCGGAGGAAAAGAAACUUACAAGGAUUCCCUUAGUAACGGCGAAUAACCGGAAGAGCCCAGCUUGAGAAUCGGGUGGCAAAGCCAUCCAAUUGUAGUCUGUAGAAGUGACCUCAGCGGCGACGACCCAGGUCCCCUGGAAGGGGCGCCAGAGAGGGUGAGAGCCCGCUGUUCGGACCCUGUCGCAACACGAGGCACUGUCGGCGAAGUCGGGUUGUUUGGGAAUGCAGCCCAAAUCGGGCGGUAAAUUCCGCCCAAGGCUAAAUACGGGCGAGACCGAUAGCAAACAAGUACCGCGAGGGAAAGAUGAAAAGGACUUUGAAAAGAGAGUCAAAGAGUGCUUGAAAUUGUCGGGAGGGAAGCGAAUGGGGCGCGAUCGCUCGAUCGCAUGUGGAACGGUCACAAGCCGGUCCGCCAGUCGACUCGAGGCGUGGACCGACGCGAUUGGGGCGGCAUCCUAAGCCCCGGUUGUUGAUAUUCCGCGGAGAUGGUGUCUCCUCGAUCGUGGAGGGCAGCACGCGACGGCGCGCUUCGCACCUGCGUUCCAGCGCCGGCCUGCGGGCUCCCAUUCGACCCGCCUUGAAACACGGACCAAGGAGUCUGACAUGUGUGCGAAGUCAACGGGUAAGUAAACCCGCAAGGCGCAAGGAAGCUGACUUGGCGGGAUCCCCAGUGGGUUGCACCGACCGACCUUGAUCUUCUGUUAUGUUCGAGGAACCCUUGGCGAUCUUGGCGUGCAAAUCGUUCGUCGACUUGGGUAUAGAGGCGAAAGACUAAUCGAACCAUCUAGUAGCUGGUUCCCUCAGAAGUUUCCCUCGGGAUAGGCUGCUUCGAGGAGUUCUAUCAGGUAAAGCCAAUGAUUAGAGGCAUCGGUAGAUGCCCUCGACCUAUUCUCAAACUUUAAAUAGGUAGGGCGGCGUGGCUGCCGUUGAGCCGCCAUGGAAUCAAACUCCAAGUGGGCCAUUUUGAGUAGCGAAGCUGGCGAUCGGGAUGAACGGAAGUGGGUUCUGGUUGCCUAACUAUCGCUAACCUAGAACCCACAAAGGGUGUUGGUCGAUUAAGACGCGGGGCGGUGGUCAUGGAAGUCGAAAUCCGCUAAGGAGUGUGUAACAACUCACUGCCGAAUCAACUAGCCCGAAAAUGGAUGGCUGAAGCGUGACCUACCCGACCGUCGUGGCGAUUGCUAGGCCUCGAUGAGUAGGAGAAGCGGUCUGCAAAACACAGGCGUGAGCGGCGGCGUCCGUCGGUCGCGGAUCUUGGUGGUAGUAGCAAAUAUUCAAAUGAGAACUUUGAAGGCGAAGAGGGAAAGGUUCCAUGUGAGCGGCACUUGCACAUGGGUUAGUCGAUCCUAAGAGGCGGGGAAGCCGUCGAUAGCGUGCACCAGAGCUUGAAAGGAAUCGGGUUAAAAUUCUGAACAGGGAUGUGGCGGUGGCGGCGUUAGGGAGUCGGAGGCGUCGUCGAGGGCCUCGGGAAGAGUUAUCUUUUACGUUUAACGCCUGCCCACCACAGAAGCGGUUUAGCGGAGGUAGGGUCAGCGGCUGGAACACCGCCGUCGCGUGGUGUCAGUGCGCCCUCGGCGACCGAAAAUCCGGAGGACGAGUGCCUUCCACGCCCGGUCGUACUCAUAACGCAUCAGGUCUCCAAGGUGAACAGCCUCGGUCAAUGGAACAAUGUAGGCAAGGGAAGUCGGCAAAAUGGAUCCGUAACCUCGGGAAAAGGAUUGGCUCGAGGCUGGGCCGGGGUCCCUGUCCCGAACCCAUCGGCUGUUGGUGGACUGCUCGAGCUGCUCCAGGCGAGCGUCGCGCGAUGCCGUCGAGACGGGGGGGAGCGGCUCUUUGGGGCCUUCCGGGCGUCGAACAGUCGGCUCGAGCUGAAUGCGGACAAGGGAAUCCGAUUUUUAAUUAAAACAAAGCAUUGCGAUGGUCCCGGGAUGCUAGCAAUGUGAUUUCUGCCCGGUGCUCACGAAUGUCAAAGUGAAGAAAUUCAACCAGCGGGUAAGCGGCGGGAGUAACUAUGACUCUCUUAAGGUAGCCAAAUGCCUCGUCAUCUAAUUAGUGGCAUGAAUGGAUUAACGAGAUUCCCACUGUCCUGUCUACUAUCCAGUGAAACCACGCCAAGGGCGGGCUUGGCGAGAAUCAGCGAGGAAAGAAGACCUGUUGAGCUUGACUCUAGUCCGACUUUGUGAAAUGACUUGAGAGGUGUAGGAUAAGUGGGGCGGAGGCGGCAAAAGUGAAAUACCACUACUUUUAGCGUUAUUUUACUUAUUAGUGAAUCGAGGCGGGGCUCUCGCCCUCUUUUAGAACAAGGCGCCUUCGUGCAUCGAUCGGCGGAAGACAUUGUCAGGUGGGGAGUUUGGCUGGGCGGCACAUCUGUUAAAGAUAGCAGGUGUCUAAGAUGAGCUCAGCGAGCAGAAAUCUCGUGUGGAACAAAAGGGUAAAAGCUUCGUUUGAUUCGAUUUUCGAUGCAAUCUGAACCGUGGCGUGGCCUAUCGAUCCUUUAGAACUUGAAUUUGAAGCUAGAGGUGUCGGAAAAGUUACCACGAGGGAUAAGCGGCUUGUGGCGUAGCGUUCAUAGCGGCGUUGCUUUUGAUCGCCGAUGUCGGCUCUUCCUAUCAUUGUGAAGCGAAUUCACCAAGUGUUGGAUUGUUCACCCACCAAUAGGGAGCGUGGUGGGUUUAGGCCGUCGUGAGACGAGGUUAGUUUACCCUCGAUGAUAAGCGUCGCAAUAGUAAUUCAACCUGAAUGCGAGAGGAACCGUUGAUUCGCUGGUGGUCAUCGGCUUGGUUGAAAAGCGAUGUGAAGCUACCGUCGUUGGAUUAUGGUGAGCGCCUCUAAGUCGAGAAUCCGGGCUGUACCGAUGCAUGUGCUUUCGCCGUUCGUUUGCCGACCCUCGGUAGGGGCUUUGGCGCCCCAAAGCGCGAUGUCGAAGCGAGUGCGGUGGAUAAACCCGUCGGCCGCUUAAAGUACAAUUUCUCCCGGGCGGGUAGAAUCCUUUGCAUCACGACUUAAAUCUGCGGCGGGGUAUUGUAAGCGGCGAGUGGCCUUGCUGCCACGAUCCGCUGAA
rnacentral:rRNA from 1 species